rnacentral:tRNA from 2 species
ACCUUGGUGGCUUAAUUGGUAAGAGCACCAGACCAUGAAUGCUAGAGUCCCAGGUUCAAGCCCUGGCCAAUGUA